GGUGAUGUGCUUAGCGCGGCCAGCUGGGCUGAGGGGUGGCCACCCGUGCACUCGCCACGUGCAGCCACUAUUCUGGUGAUGGAGUUGCACGCUUCACGGCUUGUCCAGCUGGGCUCCUUAAAGUACCGGGAACCCAACCGCAGGUGGGUGCCUCCCGACAUGGGAGCUUUCUUUUUUAUCCAGGGCCCUCUGGCGCUGCAGACCCCAGCCACCGGUCCCUGAGCCCACGGGGAAGCACCACAGGACUCCGCUGGGCCAUGGAGGUCCCCGAGCAGGUGGUCACUCGUUGCUUAUGAAGUGGUCCAUGGCCUGUGAGUUUAUUCCCGGGGUCUGUGUGGGCGAGGGUAACCAGUUCACAGCUGGGCACUUACCCCUUACACAGGUGACACUAGUUGAAGUGGAAUCUAUAUUAGCUCAUACAGGAGUACGUGAGGAGCUAGGAGGGUGGGGAGGCAUGGCCCUAGCGUUAGAGUCUGGGCUCCUGACGUUCUGUGUCUUCCUGUUGAGGGGCCGUCAGGGCCGCUGUGGGUCCUGAAGACAGUGGGUGCCAUAUGGACCAGGGGGUGCAGAAGCCUCUAGAGGCUGUGGGAGGCAAGGAGACGGUCGCUUCCCCAGAGCCAGCCCUGCCGACACCUCGAUGUUAGGUGGUGGGACCUGUUUUGGACUCCAGCUUCCAGAAAUGUGUUCACAGUGGCGUGAGGGGGAUGGCAUCAGGGUUCUGGGAACCGUGCAGUUUUACUGAAGGAAGGGAGCUCGCCACGCCUUUCCUCAUGUAACUGAAGAUUCUGUUGCCAAAAACUUACCCAUGGACAUUGAGGGUGAUGCACUUCUGCUCCGAGACGUCUGUGGCCUCAGCUGGAGGGAUGGAAAGGAUGUGGAGCCUCUUCACUCCUGGCCUGGGCUUGGACCUGCUGUGCAGCCUCUCAGGGGCACCAGGGCCCCCGUGUGUCACAGCGGCCUCGGGUUGGUGGCACUGCCCCAGGAUGUCCCAGGCUUCAUGAUGUCCAGGCUCCCCUGGCAUGGCGG